GAAAGUUUGUUCUGGUCUUUCUAUAAGAUCGUUUGGAAAAACCUGAAUGAACUUCUUGG
ensembl:miRNA